AAUGCUAUGUCUGAAAAAGAGAUAAAUUGUAAAUUUAUUUAUGAAAAUUAUUAAAUAUUUUCUGGCAUUA
rnacentral:tRNA from 1 species